GAUGAACGCUGGCGGCGUGCCUAAUACAUGCAAGUCGAGCGAACGGACGAGAAGCUUGCUUCCCUGAUGUUAGCGGCGGACGGGUGAGUAACACGUGGAUAACCUACCUAUAAGACUGGGAUAACUUCGGGAAACCGGAGCUAAUACCGGAUAAUAUUUUGAACCGCAUGGUUCAAAAGUGAAAGACGGUCUUGCUGUCACUUAUAGAUGGAUCCGCGCUGCAUUAGCUAGUUGGUAAGGUAACGGCUUACCAAGGCAACGAUGCAUAGCCGACCUGAGAGGGUGAUCGGCCACACUGGAACUGAGACACGGUCCAGACUCCUACGGGAGGCAGCAGUAGGGAAUCUUCCGCAAUGGGCGAAAGCCUGACGGAGCAACGCCGCGUGAGUGAUGAAGGUCUUCGGAUCGUAAAACUCUGUUAUUAGGGAAGAACAUAUGUGCAAGUAACUGUGCACAUCUUGACGGUACCUAAUCAGAAAGCCACGGCUAACUACGUG
rnacentral:rRNA from 1 species